rnacentral:rRNA from 2 species
UGUCUGAAUAUGGGGGGACCAUCCUCCAAGGCUAAAUACUCCUGACUGACCGAUAGUGAACCAGUACCGUGAGGGAAAGGCGAAAAGAACCCCGGCGAGGGGAGUGAAAAAGAACCUGAAACCGUGUACGUACAAGCAGUGGGAGCCUCUUAAUGGGGUGACUGCGUACCUUUUGUAUAAUGGGUCAGCGACUUAUAUUCUGUAGCAAGGUUAACCGAAUAGGGGAGCCGAAGGGAAACCGAGUCUUAACUGGGCGUUAAGUUGCAGGGUAUAGACCCGAAACCCGGUGAUCUAGCCAUGGGCAGGUUGAAGGUUGGGUAACACUAACUGGAGGACCGAACCGACUAAUGUUGAAAAAUUAGCGGAUGACUUGUGGCUGGGGGUGAAAGGCCAAUCAAACCGGGAGAUAGCUGGUUCUCCCCGAAAGCUAUUUAGGUAGCGCCUCGUGAAUUCAUCUCCGGGGGUAGAGCACUGUUUCGGCAAGGGGGUCAUCCCGACUUACCAACCCGAUGCAAACUGCGAAUACCGGAGAAUGUUAUCACGGGAGACACACGGCGGGUGCUAACGUCCGUCGUGAAGAGGGAAACAACCCAGACCGCCAGCUAAGGUCCCAAAGUCAUGGUUAAGUGGGAAACGAUGUGGGAAGGCCCAGACAGCCAGGAUGUUGGCUUAGAAGCAGCCAUCAUUUAAAGAAAGCGUAAUAGCUCACUGGUCGAGUCGGCCUGCGCGGAAGAUGUAACGGGGCUAAACCAUGCACCGAAGCUGCGGCAGCGACACUAUGUGUUGUUGGGUAGGGGAGCGUUCUGUAAGCCUGUGAAGGUGGCCUGUGAGGGUUGCUGGAGGUAUCAGAAGUGCGAAUGCUGACAUAAGUAACGAUAAAGCGGGUGAAAAGCCCGCUCGCCGGAAGACCAAGGGUUCCUGUCCAACGUUAAUCGGGGCAGGGUGAGUCGACCCCUAAGGCGAGGCCGAAAGGCGUAGUCGAUGGGAAACAGGUUAAUAUUCCUGUACUUGGUGUUACUGCGAAGGGGGGACGGAGAAGGCUAUGUUGGCCGGGCGACGGUUGUCCCGGUUUAAGCGUGUAGGCUGGUUUUCCAGGCAAAUCCGGAAAACCAAGGCUGAGGCGUGAUGACGAGGCACUACGGUGCUGAAGCGACAAAUGCCCUGCUUCCAGGAAAAGCCUCUAAGCAUCAGGUAACAUCAAAUCGUACCCCAAACCGACACAGGUGGUCAGGUAGAGAAUACCAAGGCGCUUGAGAGAACUCGGGUGAAGGAACUAGGCAAAAUGGUGCCGUAACUUCGGGAGAAGGCACGCUGAUAUGUAGGUGAAGCGACUUGCUCGUGGAGCUGAAAUCAGUCGAAGAUACCAGCUGGCUGCAACUGUUUAUUAAAAACACAGCACUGUGCAAACACGAAAGUGGACGUAUACGGUGUGACGCCUGCCCGGUGCCGGAAGGUUAAUUGAUGGGGUUAGCGGCAACGCGAAGCUCUUGAUCGAAGCCCCGGUAAACGGCGGCCGUAACUAUAACGGUCCUAAGGUAGCGAAAUUCCUUGUCGGGUAAGUUCCGACCUGCACGAAUGGCGUAAUGAUGGCCAGGCUGUCUCCACCCGAGACUCAGUGAAAUUGAACUCGCUGUGAAGAUGCAGUGUACCCGCGGCAAGACGGAAAGACCCCGUGAACCUUUACUAUAGCUUGACACUGAACAUUGAGCCUUGAUGUGUAGGAUAGGUGGGAGGCUUUGAAGUGUGGACGCCAGUCUGCAUGGAGCCGACCUUGAAAUACCACCCUUUAAUGUUUGAUGUUCUAACGUUGGCCCGUAAUCCGGGUUGCGGACAGUGUCUGGUGGGUAGUUUGACUGGGGCGGUCUCCUCCUAAAGAGUAACGGAGGAGCACGAAGGUUGGCUAAUCCUGGUCGGACAUCAGGAGGUUAGUGCAAUGGCAUAAGCCAGCUUGACUGCGAGCGUGACGGCGCGAGCAGGUGCGAAAGCAGGUCAUAGUGAUCCGGUGGUUCUGAAUGGAAGGGCCAUCGCUCAACGGAUAAAAGGUACUCCGGGGAUAACAGGCUGAUACCGCCCAAGAGUUCAUAUCGACGGCGGUGUUUGGCACCUCGAUGUCGGCUCAUCACAUCCUGGGGCUGAAGUAGGUCCCAAGGGUAUGGCUGUUCGCCAUUUAAAGUGGUACGCGAGCUGGGUUUAGAACGUCGUGAGACAGUUCGGUCCCUAUCUGCCGUGGGCGCUGGAGAACUGAGGGGGGCUGCUCCUAGUACGAGAGGACCGGAGUGGACGCAUCACUGGUGUUCGGGUUGUCAUGCCAAUGGCACUGCCCGGUAGCUAAAUGCGGAAGAGAUAAGUGCUGAAAGCAUCUAAGCACGAAACUUGCCCCGAGAUGAGUUCUCCCUGAGACUUAGAGUCUCCUGAAGGAACGUUGAAGACGACGACGUUGAUAGGCCGGGUGUGUAAGCGCAGCGAUGCGUUGAGCUAACCGGUACUAAUGAACCGUGAGGCUUAACCUU